CCUACGGGAGGCAGCAGUGGGGAAUCUUGCGCAAUGGGCGGAAGCCUGACGCAGCAACGCCGCGUGCGGGAAGAAGGCCUUAGGGUCGUAAACCGCUUUCAGGGGGGACGAAGCUUCCGGGGUUAAUAGCCUACGGGGUGACGGUACUCCCAAAAGAAGGUCCGGCUAACUACGUGCCAGCAGCCGCGGUAAUACGUAGGGACCGAGCGUUGUCCGGAAUCAUUGGGCGUAAAGAGCGUGUAGGCGGCCUAGUAGGUCUCGUGUGAAAUCCCGCGGCUCAACCGCGGACCCGCACGGGAAACCCCUAGGCUCGAGUCCGGAAGAGGAGAGCGGAAUUCCUGGUGUAGCGGUGAAAUGCGCAGAUAUCAGGAAGAACACCCGUAGCGAAGGCGGCUCUCUGGGACGGUACUGACGCUGAGACGCGAAAGCGUGGGGAGCAAACAGGAUUAGAUACCCUGGUAGUCCACGCCGUAAACGAUGGAUGCUAGGUGUGGGAGGUGUCGACUCCUCCCGUGCCGAAGCUAACGCAUUAAGCAUCCCGCCUGGGGAGUACGGCCGCAAGGCUAAAACUCAAAGGAAUUGACGG
rnacentral:rRNA from 1 species